AUGUCGUCGUCGUCGUCCAAGCCGAAGAGAGCAGGUGGCCUCCAGGGCGCCAGGCCGCAGCCGCUGAGCCUGCCGUCCAAGAAACCACGCGUUGGCGGCCACGCCGGAUCAGCUGGGGCAGGGCCCGUGAUCGUCUACGAGCGCACGCCGAGGGUCGUCCACGCCGACCCGCACGACUUCAUGGCCGUCGUGCAGAGGCUCACGGGCAAGCAGCGGUCACCAGAGGCGGCGUCCGGUGCUAGGGACGGCAGGGCCUCGACGUCGACGGCCGCGGACGCUUUGGUGCUCACGCUUGGCCAGCAGCGGCGUGCGCCGUGUCGUCAUGAUCAUCCCGCACCUUCUGCUUCCCCGGGUACUGCAUCGUCGACAUCGCCGCUGUCCCCGAGCAGCUUCUUCCUCUCCCCGGCCACCGUGCAGGCGAUACGAGACCUCAUCAGCUGA
rnacentral:rRNA from 1 species